GNCCGCCCGGGAACUACGAGCAUCAGCUUAAAACCCAAAGGACUUGGCGGUGCUUUAGUACCCACCUAGAGGAGCCUGUUCUAGAACCGAUAAUCCCCGUUAAACCUCACCUUUCCUUGUUUUUCCCGCCUAUAUACCGCCGUCGUCAGCUUACCCCCUGAGGAACAUAGUAAGCAUAACUGGUAAUCCUAAAACGUCAGGUCGAGGUGUAGCGCAUGAGAGGGGAAGAAAUGGGCUACAUUCCCUAAAAUAGGGCAUCACGGACGAUGUAAUGAAACUUACAUCUUAAGGAGGAUUUAGCAGUAAGAGGAAAAUAGAGAGUUCC
rnacentral:rRNA from 1 species